CCCUUAGAUGUUCUGGGCCGCACGCGCGCUACACUGAUUCAUGCACUAAGUAUAUAACCUUGGUAGAAAUGCUUGGGUAAUCUUCGAAACUGAAUCGUGCUGGGGAUUGGAGCUUGUAAUUAUUCUCCAUGAACGAGGAGUUCCUAGUAAACGCGAGUCAUCAGCUCGCAUUGAUUACGUCCCUGCCCUUUGUACACACCGCCCGUCGCACCUACCGAUUGAAUGGUCCGGUGAAAUCUUCGGACCGCGCAACGCCGCAAGGUGAUGCGUGGAAAGUUGCUUAAACCUUACCAUUUAGAGGAAGGUGAAGUCGUAACA
rnacentral:rRNA from 1 species